GUGCCAGCCGCCGCGGUAAUACGUAGGGUGCAAGCGUUAAUCGGAAUUACUGGGCGUAAAGCGUGCGCAGGCGGUUAUGUAAGACAGAUGUGAAAUCCCCGGGCUCAACCUGGGACCUGCAUUUGUGACUGCAUGGCUGGAGUACGGCAGAGGGGGAUGGAAUUCCGCGUGUAGCAGUGAAAUGCGUAGAUAUGCGGAGGAACACCGAUGGCGAAGGCAAUCCCCUGGGCCUGUACUGACGCUCAUGCACGAAAGCGUGGGGAGCAAACAGGAUUAGAUACCCUGGUAGUCCACGCCCUAAACGAUGUCAACUGGUUGUUGGGUCUUCACUGACUCAGUAACGAAGCUAACGCGUGAAGUUGACCGCCUGGGGAGUACGGUCGCAAGACUAAAACUUAAAUAAAUUGGCGG
rnacentral:rRNA from 1 species